CUGAGAGCUCUUUUGUGCAAAGCAUCAUUCACAUCAGGCAAUGCUUCUUGUGAAAAGCAAACCCAGAACUGGUGUGUGUUUUUUAUAGGGCAGGGCAGCUGUAACCAACACCUCCAAUCUCAUCUCAUUGAUUGGACUCCAGUUGGCUGACAUCUCACUCCAAUUAGCUCUUGGAGAUGUCAUUAGUCUAGGGGUUCACAUGCUUUUUCCACCUGCACUGUGAAUGUUUACAUGGUGUGUUCAAUAAAAACAU